UACGUAGGGCGCGAGCGUGUCCGGAAUUAUUGGGCGUAAAGAGCUCGUAGGCGGUUUGUCGCGUCUGCUGUGAAAACCCGAGGCUCAACCUCGGGCCUGCAGUGGGUACGGGCAGACUAGAGUGCGGUAGGGGAGAUUGGAAUUCCUGGUGUAGCGGUGGAAUGCGCAGAUAUCAGGAGGAACACCAAUGGCGAAGGCAGAUCUCUGGGCCGUAACUGACGCUGAGGAGCGAAAGCAUGGGGAGCGAACAGG
rnacentral:rRNA from 1 species